AAAGAAUAAUGAGUAAGAUAAAUAAAAUGUAGAAAAAAAUGACAUAACAAUUUAAAGAAUACAGAAAUAAACAAUACCUCCAAUCCUGACCCUCAUGGAAUACACGAGAAUCUGGAUGGAAACGCAGAAUAUAGAAUAAUAUAUAAGGACAGUAGAGAGUGAUACAUUGCUAAAAACGAGAGAAAAACAAUACUUGUUUAAGAAUACACACA
rnacentral:lncRNA from 1 species